AGUUUUUCCGGUUUCUGAAGCUCGUGGGGGUCGGUUUCAAAGCGAGGUCAGAGAGCCAAGGCCGUGAGCUGUUCCUGAAACUGGGGUACAGUCACGAGGUGCAGUUUACCACGCCGCCCGCCGUCCGUGUCUUCUGCUUCAAACCCAACGUAAUCUGUUGCACCGGCAUUGACAAGGACAGGGUGCACCAGUUCGCUGGUGCGGUCCGGAACUGCAAGCCCCCAGAGGUGUACAAGGGGAAGGGCAUACUCUACCUCGAUGAGGUCAUCAAGCUGAAGCCCGGGAAGAAGCAAAAGAAGUGAUGGCUGAAAGGUGUUAGAACUUUAUAUUUGGUUUUUGACCUCUUGAGAUCGAUUCUGCUGUGCGGGUUUGAUUUGAUUUCUUGUGCUAGGCAGAUCAGCAUUGUCCCAGACUUACAUCAGUGUCAGGCAAUGCAAUGU
rnacentral:lncRNA from 1 species